UACGGAGGGUGCAAGCGUUAUCCGGAUUCACUGGGUUUAAAGGGUGUGUAGGCGGAUCUUUAAGUCCGAGGUGAAAUCUCUGAGCUCAACUCAGAAACUGCCUUGGAUACUAUUUAUCUUGAAUAUCGUUGAGGUAGGCGGAAUAUGUCAUGUAGCGGUGAAAUGCUUAGAUAUGACAUAGAACACCGAUUGCGAAGGCAGCUUGCUAAACGAUUAUUGACGCUGAGGCACGAAAGCGUGGGGAGCAAACAGG
rnacentral:rRNA from 1 species